rnacentral:lncRNA from 1 species
CAGAUCUUAGCUGUGCAUUUGUUGCAAGCAGUCCUUCGGUCAUGGGACAAGACCAAAAGGGCGAGGGACAUGAAAUGCCUGGUGGAGAAGCUGUUUGACUUCUUGGGGAGCUUGCUCACUACCUGCUCCUCUGACGUGCCAUUACUCAGAGGCCCAGUUAGAGGACUACUUCCCCAACUCCGAGAACCCUGAAGUGGGGGGCCUCAUGGCGGUCCUGGCUGUGAUUGGAGGCAUCGAUGGUCGCCUGUGCCUGGGCGGCCAAAUUGUGCACGAUGAGUUUGGAGAAGGCACCGUGACUGGCAUCACCCCGAAGGGCAAAAUCACCGUGCAGUUCUCUGACAUGCGGACGUGUCACAUUUGCCCAUUGAAUCAGCUGAAACCA